rnacentral:rRNA from 1 species
UACGGGGGUGGCGAGCGUUACUCGGAUUUAUUGGGUGUAAAGGGCAGGUAGGCGGCUAUGUAAGUUGGUGGUGAAAUCCUAAGGCUCAACCUUAGAACUGCCUCCAAAACUGCAUGGCUUGAGGCUAGAAGAGGAGAACGGAAUUCCCGGUGUAAGGGUGAAAUCUGUAGAUAUCGGGAAGAACACCAGUGGCGAAGGCGGUUCUCUGGUCUAGCUCUGACGCUGAGCUGCGAAAGCUAGGGGAG